GAUGAACGCUGGCGGCGUGCCUAAUACAUGCAAGUCGAGCGAACGGACGAGAAGCUUGCUUUUCUGAUGUUAGCGGCGGACGGGCGAGUAACACGUGGAUAACCUACCUAUAAGACUGGGAUAACUUCGGGAAACCGGAGCUAAUACCGGAUAAUAUUUUGAACCGCAUGGUUCAAAAGUGAAAGACGGUCUUGCUGUCACUUAUAGAUGGAUCCGCGCUGCAUUAGCUAGUUGGUAAGGUAACGGCUUACCAAGGCAACGAUGCAUAGCCGACCUGAGAGGGUGAUCGGCCACACUGGAACUGAGACACGGUCCAGACUCCUACGGGAGGCAGCAGUAGGGAAUCUUCCGCAAUGGGCGAAAGCCUGACGGAGCAACGCCGCGUGAGUGAUGAAGGUCUUCGGAUCGUAAAACUCUGUUAUUAGGGAAGAACAUAUGUGUAAGUAACUGUGCACAUCUUGACGGUACCUAAUCAGAAAGCCACGGCUAGCUACGUG
rnacentral:rRNA from 1 species